GACGAACGCUGGCGGCGUGCUUAACACAUGCAAGUCGAACGGAAAGGCCCUGCUUGCAGGGUACUCGAGUGGCGAACGGGUGAGUAACACGUGGGUGAUCUGCCCUGCACUUCGGGAUAAGCCUGGGAAACUGGGUCUAAUACCGGAUAGGAGCCAUUUUUAGUGUGAUGGUUGGAAAGUUUUUUCGGUGUAGGAUGAGCUCGCGGCCUAUCAGCUUGUUGGUGGGGUAAUGGCCUACCAAGGCGGCGACGGGUAGCCGGCCUGAGAGGGUGGACGGCCACAUUGGGACUGGGAUACGGCCCAGACUCCUACGGGAGGCAGCAGUGGGGAAUAUUGCACAAGGGGCGCAAGCCUGAUGCAGCGACGCCGCGGGGGGGAUGACGGCCUUCGGGUUGUAAACUCCUUUCGCUAGGGACGAAGCUUUUUGUGACGGUACCUAGAUAAGAAGCACCGGCUAACUACGUG
rnacentral:rRNA from 1 species